AGUCGGUUUGCGGGAGGAUGGCCUGACUGAAUUUGGGGGGACCAUCCUGGAAGGCUUAAUACUCCUGACUGUCCGAUAGUGAACCAGUUCCGUGAGGGAAAGGCGAAUAGAACCCCGGCGAGGGGAGUGAAAAAGAACCUGAAACCGUGUAAGUACAAGCAGUGGGAGCACCUUCGGGUGUGAAUGCGUACCUUUUGUAUAAUGGGUCAGCGACUUAUAUUCUGUAGCAAGGUUAACCUUAUAGGGGAGCCGCAGGGAAACCGAGUCUUAACUGGG
rnacentral:rRNA from 1 species